AUUGAACGCUGGCGGCAGGCCUAACACAUGCAAGUCGAGCGCGAAAUUUCCUUCGGGAAUGAGUAGAGCGGCGGACGGGUGAGGAACGCGUAGGAAUCUACCUAGUAGUGGGGGACAACAAUCGGAAACGGUUGCUAAUACCGCAUAAGCCCUAAGGGGGAAAGCAGGGGAUCUUCGGACCUUGCGCUAUUGGAUGAGCCUGCGUCGGAUUAGCUAGUUGGUGGGGUAAUAGCCUACCAAGGCAACGAUCCGUAGCUGGUCUGAGAGGAUGAUCAGCCACACUGGGACUGAGACACGGCCCAGACUCCUACGGGAGGCAGCAGUGGGGAAUAUUGGACAAUGGGCGCAAGCCUGAUCCAGCCAUGCCGCGUGUGUGAAGAAGGCUCUAGGGUUGUAAAGCACUUUCAGUAGGGAGGAAAAGUUAGUAGUUAAUAACUGCUAACCCUGACGUUACCUACAGAAGAAGCACCGGCAAACUCCGUGCCAGCAGCCGCGGUAAUACGGAGGGUGCGAGCGUUAAUCGGAAUUACUGGGCGUAAAGCGCGCGUAGGCGGUUUGAUAAGCUGGAUGUGAAAGCCCUGGGCUCAACCUGGGAAUUGCAUCCAGAACUGUCUGACUAGAGUACAGUAGAGGUGAGUGGAAUUUCCUGUGUAGCGGUGAAAUGCGUAGAUAUAGGAAGGAACAUCAGUGGCGAAGGCGACUCACUGGACUGAUAC
rnacentral:rRNA from 1 species